rnacentral:rRNA from 1 species
CCUACGGGGGGCAGCAGUGGGGAAUAUUGGACAAUGGGCGAAAGCCUGAUCCAGCCAUGCCGCGUGUGUGAAGAAGGCCUUCGGGUUGUAAAGCACUUUCAGUGGGGAAGAAAGCCUUGGGGCUAAUACCCUCGAGGAAGGACAUCACCCACAGAAGAAGCACCGGCUAACUCCGUGCCAGCAGCCGCGGUAAUACGGAGGGUGCGAGCGUUAAUCGGAAUUACUGGGCGUAAAGCGCGCGUAGGCGGUCUGAUAAGCCGGUUGUGAAAGCCCGGGCUCAACCUGGGAACGGCAUCCGGAACUGUCAGGCUAGAGUGCAGGAGAGGAAGGUAGAAUUCCCGGUGUAGCGGUGAAAUGCGUAGAGAUCGGGAGGAAUACCAGUGGCGAAGGCGGCCUUCUGGACUGACACUGACGCUGAGGUGCGAAAGCGUGGGUAGCAAACAGGAUUAGAUACCCUGGUAGUC